GAUCGCGUGGCACCCGAGCGGGCGUCCUAAGGCGCUGGAUUUAGGCUCCGGUGAGGCGUGGGUUCGAAUCCCUCCGCUGUCA